CCUACGGGUGGCAGCAGUGGGGAAUAUUGCGCAAUGGGCGAAAGCCUGACGCAGCGACGCCGCGUGAGUGAUGAAGGUCUUCGGAUCGUAAACCUCUGUCAGCAGGGAAGAACGGUCACUGUGCUAAUCAGUAGUGAAUUGACGGUACCUGCAAAGGAAGCACCGGCUAACUCCGUGCCAGCAGCCGCGGUAAUACGGGGGGUGCGAGCGUUAAUCGGAAUUACUGGGCGUACAGCGCUCGUAGGCGGUAUGUCAAGUCAAGGGUGAAAUCCCCGUGCUCAACGUGGGAACUGCCUUUGAAACUGGCAGACUGGAGUGUGUGAGAGGAUGGUGGAAUUCCAGGUGUAGGGGUGAAAUCCGUAGAUAUCUGGAGGAACAUCAGUGGCGAAGGCGACUAUCUGGCACAUAACUGACGCUGAGGAGCGAAAGCGUGGGUAGCAAACAGGAUUAGAUACCCGUGUAGUC
rnacentral:rRNA from 1 species